UGAACGCUGGCGGUAUGCUUAACACAUGCAAGUCGAACGGAAACGAUACUAGCUUGCUAGUAGGCGUCGAGUGGCGGACGGGUGAGUAACGCGUAGGAAUCUGCCUGAUAGUGGGGGAUAGCCCGAAGAAAUUCGGAUUAAUACCGCAUAAUCUAUUCGUAGUAAAGUGGGGGACUUUCGAGCCUCACGCUAUCAGAUGAGCCUGCGUAAGAUUAGCUUGUUGGUGGGGUAAAAGCCCACCAAGGCGACGAUCUUUAGCUGGUCUGAGAGGAUGAUCAGCCACAUCGGGACUGAGACACGGCCCGAACUCCUACGGGAGGCAGCAGUGGGGAAUAUUGGACAAUGGGGGCAACCCUGAUCCAGCAAUACCGCGUGUGUGAAGAAGGCCUGAGGGUUGUAAAGCACUUUCAAUUGUGAAGAAAAGUUAGCGGUUAAUAACCGUUAGCCUUGACGUUAACUUUAGAAGAAGCACCGGCUAACUCCGUGCCAGCAGCCGCGGUAAUACGGAGGGUGCAAGCGUUAAUCGGAAUUACUGGGCGUAAAGCGUGCGUAGGCGGUUUAUUAAGUCAGAUGUGAAAGCCCCCGGGGCUUAACCUGGGGAACUGCAUUUGAAACUGGUCAACUUAGCAGUAUGGUAGAGGAAAGUGGAAUUUCUGGUGUAGCGGUGAAAUGCGUAGAUAUCAGAAGGAACAUCAAUGGCGAAGGCAGCUUUCUGGACCAAUACUGACGCUGAGGUACGAAAGCGUGGGUAGCAAACAGGAUUAGAUACCCUGGUAGUCCACGCCGUAAAACGAUGAUAACUAGCCGUUGGGGGGAUUUACCCUUUAGUGGCGAAGCUAACGCGUUAAGUUAUCCGCCUGGGGAGUACGGCCGCAAGGUUAAAACUCAAAGGAAUUGACGGGGACCCGCACAAGCGGUGGAGCAUGUGGUUUAAUUCGAUGCAACGCGAAGAACCUUACCUGGUCUUGACAUCCUGCGAACUUUCUAGAAAUAGAUUGGUGCCUUCGGGAACGCAGUGACAGGUGCUGCAUGGCUGUCGUCAGCUCGUGUCGUGAGAUGUUGGGUUAAGUCCCGUAACGAGCGCAACCCCUAUCCUUAUUUGCCAGCACAUUAUGGUGGGAACUAUAAGGAGACUGCCGGUGAUAAACCGGAGGAAGGCGGGGACGACGUCAAGUCAUCAUGGCCCUUACGACCAGGGCUACACACGUGCUACAAUGGGAAGGACAAAGAGCCGCGAAGCCGCGAGGUGUAGCUAAUCUCAUAAACCUUUUCGUAGUCCGGAUUGGAGUCUGCAACUCGACUCCAUGAAGUCGGAAUCGCUAGUAAUCGUAGAUCAGAAUGCUACGGUGAAUACGUUCCCGGGUCUUGUACACACCGCC
rnacentral:rRNA from 1 species